rnacentral:rRNA from 1 species
GUAGGUGGCAAGCGUUGUCCGGAAUUAUUGGGCGUAAAGCGCGCGCAGGCGGUCCUUUAAGUCUGAUGUGAAAGCCCACGGGCUCAACCGUGGAGGGUCAUUGGAAACUGGGGGACUUGAGUACAGAAGAGGAAAGCGGAAUUCCAAGCGUAGCGGUGAAAUGCGUAGAGAUUUGGAGGAACACCAGUGGCGAAGGCGGCUUUCUGGUCUGUAACUGACGCUGAGGCGCGAAAGCGUGGGGAGCAAACAGGAUUAGAUACCCUGGUAGUCCACGCCGUAAACGAUGAGUGCUAAGUGUUAGGGGGUUUCCGCCCCUUAGUGCUGCAGCUAACGCAUUAAGCACUCCGCCUGGGGAGUACGGCCGCAAAGGCUGA